rnacentral:rRNA from 1 species
GAACGCGUCUGUUAGCAAUCUAUACUGUGAAACUGCGAAUGGCUCAUUAAAUCAGUUAUCGUUUAUUUGAUAGUACCUUACUACUUGGAUAACCGUGGUAAUUCUAGAGCUAAUACAUGCUAAAAACCCCGACUUCGGAAGGGGUGUAUUUAUUAGAUAAAAAACCAAUGCCCUUCGGGGCUCCUUGGUGAUUCAUGAUAACUUAACGAAUCGCAUGGCCUUGCGCCGGCGAUGGUUCAUUCAAAUUUCUGCCCUAUCAACUUUCGAUGGUAGGAUAGUGGCCUACCAUGGUAUCAACGGGUAACGGGGAAUUAGGGUUCUAUUCCGGAGAGGGAGCCUGAGAAACGGCUACCACAUCCAAGGAAGGCAGCAGGCGCGCAAAUUACCCAAUCCCGACACGGGGAGGUAGUGACAAUAAAUACUGAUACAGGGCUCUUUUGGGUCUUGUAAUUGGAAUGAGUACAAUUUAAAUACCUUAACGAGGAACAAUUGGAGGGCAAGUCUGGUGCCAGCAGCCGCGGUAAUUCCAGCUCCAAUAGCGUAUAUUAAAGUUGUUGCAGUUAAAAAGCUCGUAGUUGAACCUUGGGCCUGGCUGGCCGGUCCGCCUCACCGCGUGUACUGGUCCGGCCGGGCCUUUCCUUCUGGGGAUCCUCAUGCCCUUCACUGGGUGGUGCUGGGGAACCAGGACUUUUACUUUGAAAAAAUUAGAGUGUUCAAAGCAGGCCUUUGCUCGAAUACAUUAGCAUGGAAUAAAGAAAUAGGGACGUGCGGUCCUAUUUUUGUUGGUUUCUAGGACCGCCGUAAUGAUUAAUAGGGGAUAGUCGGGGGCAUCAGUAUUCAAUUGUCAGAGGUGAAAUUCUUGGAAUUUAUUGAAGACUAACUACUGCGAAAGAUUUUGCCAAGGAUGUUUUCAUUAAUCAGUGAACGAAAGUUAAGGGGAUCGAAGACGAUCAGAA